rnacentral:rRNA from 1 species
AGAGUUUGAUCCUGGCUCAGGAUGAACGCUAGCGGCAGGCCUAAUACAUGCAAGUCGAACGGUGAUAUUUAUAUCAUAGUGGCGCACGGGUGCGUAACACGUAUGCAACCUACCUAUUAUUGAGGGAUAGCCUUUGGAAACGGAGAUUAAUACCGCAUAAUACGAUUAACUGGCAUCGGUUGAUUGUUAAAGCAUUUGCGAUAAUAGAUGGGCAUGCGUCCAAUUAGUUAGUUGGUGUGGUAAUGGCUCACCAAGACGAUGAUUGGUAGGGGAUCUGAGAGGAUAAUCCCCCACACUGGCACUGAGAUACGGGCCAGACUCCUACGGGAGGCAGCAGUAGGGAAUAUUGGGCAAUGGGCGGAAGCCUGACCCAGCCAUGCCGCGUGCGGGAAGACGGCGUUAUGCGUUGUAAACUGCUUUUUUAUAGGAAGAAGGAUCCCUUGCGAGGGAAGGUGACGGUACUAUAAGAAUAAGCACCGGCUAACUCCGUGCCAGCAGCCGCGGUAAUACGGAGGGUGCAAGCGUUGUCCGGAUUUAUUGGGUUUAAAGGGUGCGUAGGCGGUUUAUUAAGUCAGUGGUGAAAGACGGUCGCUCAACGAUUGCAGUGCCAUUGAUACUGGUAG